UUUCCGUAGGUGAACCUGCGGAAGGAUCAUUAACGUGUUUGGGUCCCCUCGGGGGCCCGACAUCCCACCCUUUGCCGUUUACAAAACAAGUUGCUUCGGCGGGCCGGACGCGGAAACGCGGCCGCCGGUCCCAUAGUCGCCCGGAGAGCGCCCGCCGGAGGAUUACAAACACUAGCCUUUGAACGAGUACGUCAGAGUAAUGAAUAACAAAUAAUUCAAAACUUUCAACAACGGAUCUCUUGGUUCUGGCAUCGAUGAAGAACGCAGC
rnacentral:misc_RNA from 1 species